rnacentral:rRNA from 1 species
GAUGAACGCUGGCGGCGUGCAUAACACAUGCAAGUCGAACGGAAGGGCCCUGCUCUUGUGGCGUGCUCGUGUGCCGAACGGGUGUGUAACACGCGAGGAACCUGUCCCUGACUGUCGGGUAACUCCUCGAAAAUCCGGCUAAUACAGGAUAGGAGAUCUUGCAGCGCGGUGGGGGUUGGUAAGAGUCGGCUGUGCUGGCUGGACUCGCGGCUUAUCAGCUUGUUGGUGGGGUAGUGACUUACCAAGGUUUUGACGGGUAGCCGGCCUGAGAGGGUGACCGGCCACAUUGGUACUGAGAUACGGCCCAGACUCCUACGGGAGGCAGCAGUGGGGAAUAUUGCACAAUGGGCGGAAGCCUGAUGCAGCAACGCCGCGUGCGGGAUGACGGCCUUCGGGUUGUGAACCGCUUUCGCCUGUGACGAAGCGUGAGUGACGGUAAUGGGUAAAGAAGCACCGGCUAACUACGUG